rnacentral:rRNA from 1 species
AACGCGAAGAACCUUACCUGGACUUGACAUGCAUUUGACAGCCUCAGAAAUGGGGUGUUCUCGCAAGAGACAGAUGCACAGGUGCUGCAUGGCUGUCGUCAGCUCGUGCCGUGAGGUGUUGGGUUAAGUCCCGCAACGAGCGCAACCCUUGUCGUUAGUUGCCAACACGUAAUGGUGGGCACUCUAACGAGACUGCCUAGGUUAACUAGGAGGAAGGUGAGGAUGACGUCAAGUCCGCAUGGCCUUUAUGUCCAGGGCUACACACGUGCUACAAUGGUCGGUACAGAAGGCAGCGAAGCCGCGAGGCGAAGCAAAUCCCCAAAGCCGGCCCCAGUUCAGAUUGGAGUCUGCAACUCGACUCCAUGAAGAUGGAAUUGCUAGUAAUGGCGGGUCAGCAACACCGCCGUGAAUACGUUCCCGGGCCUUUACACACCGCUCGUC